rnacentral:rRNA from 1 species
UCCAGACUCCUACGGGAGGCAGCAGUGGGGAAUAUUGCACAAUGGGCGAAAGCCUGAUGCAGCGACGCCGCGUGAGUGAAGAAGUAUUUCGGUAUGUAAAGCUCUAUCAGCAGGGAAGAAAAUGACGGUACCUGACUAAGAAGCCCCGGCUAACUACGUGCCAGCAGCCGCGGUAAUACGUAGGGGGCAAGCGUUAUCCGGAUUUACUGGGUGUAAAGGGAGUGUAGGUGGCAUAACAAGUCAGAAGUGAAAGCCCGGGGCUCAACCGCGGGACUGCAUUUGGAACUGUGUGGCUGGAGUGUCGGAGAGGCAGGCGGAAUUCCUAGUGUAGCGGUGAAAUGCGUAGAUAUUAGGAGGAACACCAGUGGCGAAGGCGGCCUGCUGGACGAUGACUGACGUUGAGGCUCGAAAGCGUGGGGAGCAAACAGGAUUAGAUACCCGAGUAA